rnacentral:rRNA from 1 species
UACGGAGGGAGCUAGCGUUGUUCGGAAUUACUGGGCGUAAAGCGCACGUAGGCGGCUAUUCAAGUCGGGGGUGAAAGCCCGGGGCUCAACCCGGAACUGCCCUCGAAACUAGAUAGCUAGAAUCUUGGAGAGGCGAGUGGAAUUCCGAGUGUAGAGGUGAAAUUCGUAGAUAUUCGGAAGAACACCAGUGGCGAAGGCGACUCGCUGGACAAGUAUUGACGCUGAGGUGCGAAAGCGUGGGGAGCAAACAGG